rnacentral:misc_RNA from 1 species
CACCUUCCUUGGUAAGUACAAAGCCUGGCCACUUAUCAGUUGCACUCAUUUCCUCCGACAGAGCUAGAAAAUAAUAUAAGUUGCAAUAUACAUCCAAAUAUGGCUCAGAGCUUCCAACCAUCAUUGACUUAUGCUGUUUGACAGUUUCCACAUCAGGAAAUAUUAUCUUUGUUAUGGUCUCAAGAUACCCUUCGGAUCCUGCUUCC